rnacentral:rRNA from 1 species
CAAUACUUUGGUGGCGACCGGCGCACGGGUGCGUAACGCGUAUGCAACCUACCUUUAACAGGGGCAUAACACUGAGAAAUUGGUACUAAUUCCCCAUAACAUUCGAGAAGGCAUCUUCUUGGGUUAAAAACCCCGGUGGUUAAAGAUGGGCAUGCGUUGUAUUAGCUAGUUGGUGAGGUAACGGCUCACCAAGGCAACGAUACAUAGGGGGACUGAGAGGUUAACCCCCCACAUUGGUACUGAGACACGGACCAA